UCCUGCCUGUGGCAUAUUGUAGAACUAAAGUUAAACCAAAAAUGACGGCAAAAAUAGGCGAAACGGGCAAAAAGGCAUGAUAUAAAGAGGCAACGCUUAAAGGGUAACUGCACUUUUUAUUGGAGUCCUUCCCUUUUCUGUGCAUUUUAGGGUGAGAAAACGAGUUUAUAUCCGCUUGCUAGCAACGGGCGUCAUGGGAAAUACCUAUUUUGACGGUAACUGACAUAAUUGACUUGUAUGUUAACCAAGCUACAGCCAUAUUAUUAUUGUAGCAGCUAACAUUUUUAUCUCACGGACUAACACGAAGUCUCAGCGUCAUUCACAGAUGGAAUAAUGGAUACCCAGCUCUCAAUUUCGCUACAAAGACUCAUUAAGAUGCAUUGCCGUCGGCAUGUUUUACCUGAGGACUGGACCAAACAGCCAUCCCAUUGAGAGCCGCCAUCUUGGUGUCGUUGUAUAGAUGCUGCUGUUGUUGGCGGGACUACCGAUGUCCUUUUUGAAGCAUGACUGCUCCCCUUGUGUACAAAAUACGAUGUGGACGCUGAGCCUUGACAUACGACCCAACCAAAACAGUUAAUCUGCAAAAGGGCUCACCAUUGUAGUUUCUGUGGUUGUAGUCGAAAUCACUCACCCAAGUGACUGAUGAGUGCACUGGAAAGCCAAUGCAGCGACUGUGAUUUCAUCCUUUCUGAGCCGGACAGUGACAGGCAGGGAGAGAUAUCCAAACAGAC